CCAACUUCUGAAUGUUGACCUCGGAUCAGGUAGGAAUACCCGCUGAACUUAAGCAUAUCAAUAAGCGGAGGAA
rnacentral:rRNA from 1 species